CUGAACCAGACAAUGGGAUUGACUCCAUACCACUCACUGGUCCAGUAUCAAGUUCAAGGUGUGGUAUAGCUGAACCAGACAAUGUGAUGGACUCCAUACCACUCACUGUUCCAGUAUCAAGUUCAAGGUGUGUAUAGCUGAACCAGACAAUGGGAUUGACUCCAUACCACUCACUGGUCCAGUAUCAAGAUCAAGGUGUGGUAUAGCUGAACCAGACAAUAUGAUUAACUCCAUACCACUCACUGGUCCAGUAUCAAGAUCAAGGUGUGGUAAAGCUGAACCAGACAAUGGGAUUGACUCCAUACCACUCACUGGUCCAGUAUCAAGUUCAAGGUGAGUACUUCAGCUGGCGUAUCUCCUGGGAAAUAUACUGUCCAGUAUGCUGAAAAGCAGAUGCAACAUAGAAAACAAAUGCGAGCUAGAGGUUAGCAACCAUCUACAAAACACAGACGUUUGAUAUUGAAGCAGGAGCGAGUCAUUACUCAAGGAGCUCAUGAGGCUUUAGAGGGAGUCUCGUACCAAUCUGGCGUUGGUCAUGAAGCCAAUGUUGACAUUGAGAAGUUUACCUGAUGCUGUUCCACGUGGUCAUUUCAAAGCUGUCAAACUGACAUCAAGUGAAGAACCUACAUUUAUAUCAUUUGACUUGGAAACAGCUGAUCUGAUUCGUGGGAGACUGAUGCCCCAUCCUACACAGAUAGCAGCGGUUGACCUUCAAUCUGGCA
rnacentral:lncRNA from 1 species